GACGAGCGCUGGCGGCGUGCUUAACACAUGCAAGUCGAGCGGUAAGGCCCUUUCGGGGGUACACGAGCGGCGAACGGGUGAGUAACACGUGGGUGACCUGCCCUCAGCUCUGGGAUAAGCCUGGGAAACCGGGUCUAAUACUGGAUAUGACUCCAUGACGCAUGUUGUGGGGUGGAAAGCCUUGUGCGGCUGAGGAUGGGCCCGCGGCCUAUCAGCUUGUUGGUGGGGUGAUGGCCUACCAAGGCGACGACGGGUAGCCGGCCUGAGAGGGCGACCGGCCACACUGGGACUGAGACACGGCCCAGACUCCUACGGGAGGCAGCAGUGGGGAAUCUUGCGCAAUGGGCGAAAGCCUGACGCAGCGACGCCGCGUGAGGGAUGACGGCCUCGGUGUAAGUACCGUU
rnacentral:rRNA from 1 species